rnacentral:lncRNA from 1 species
UCAGAUUCAGAUUAAGAUGAUCUCCCCGUCUUCAAUUCAUCUACUCCUAGAUGAAUCUGUAAGCUCUUGGAUCAGCAUUGGAUCUGAUCUCUGGCAGGGUUCCGAUCAAUGCUUGAUCGUAGCCUUCUUGUUCCUUCACGUAUAUCGAACGAAACUCGAUACUUCGAGACCACCAGAUAGAAUACCCAACACCUUUGGAUGUGAGAGAGGAUCAGAGAUCAGAGAAGAGAGAGGAGAUGGCAUGGAGAAGAGGAGAGGGGG